rnacentral:tRNA from 1 species
UAGCUCAGCUGGUAGAGCAUCUGAUUUGUAAUCAGAGGGUCGGGGGUUCGAGUCCCUC